rnacentral:rRNA from 1 species
GACGGAGGAUGCAAGCGUUAUCCGGAAUGAUUGGGCGUAAAGCGUCCGCAGGUGGCAGUUCAAGUCUGCUGUCAAAGACCGGGGCUUAACUUCGGAAAGGCAGUGGAAACUGAACAGCUAGAGUAUGGUAGGGGCAGAGGGAAUUCCUGGUGUAGCGGUGAAAUGCGUAGAUAUCAGGAAGAACAUCGGUGGCGAAGGCGGCCAACUGGACGAGUACUGACACUGAGACACGAAAGCGUGGGGAGCAGACAGG